rnacentral:rRNA from 1 species
AUUGAACGCUGGCGGCAUGCCUUACACAUGCAAGUCGAACGGCAGCACGGGUGCUUGCACCUGGUGGCGAGUGGCGAACGGGUGAGUAAUACAUCGGAACGUACCUUAUCGUGGGGGAUAACGCAGCGAAAGUUGCGCUAAUACCGCAUACGCCCUGAGGGGGAACGCGGGGGACCGUAAGGCCUCGCACGAUUAGAGCGGCCGAUGUCUGAUUAGCUUGUUGGUGAGGUAAAAGCUCACCAAGGCGAUGAUCAGUAGCUGGUCUGAGAGGACGAUCAGCCACACUGGGACUGAGACACGGCCCAGACUCCUACGGGAGGCAGCAGUGGGGAAUUUUGGACAAUGGGGGCAACCCUGAUCCAGCAAUGCCGCGUGAGUGAAGAAGGCCUUCGGGUUGUAAAGCUCUUUUGUCAGGGAAGAAACAGCAGCUCUAACACAGUCUGCGAAUGACGGUACCUGAAGAAUAAGCACCGGCUAACUACGUGCCAGCAGCCGCCGUAA